AUGCAGAGAUGGGGAAAAAGAUGCUGGCGUGGGGCAUCGAACGGUUGUUGUAUGCUGAAUCUACGGUUGCGUGCGGACCGGCCCAAAUUUGGGCCGGCGCAUAGUGCUGCCCGAAAGAAAACUCACAACGCGCUGCCCCUCGAGCACUCCCGCUCCUACUCCCUCGAACCUCUCCCGCGGUUCUCCACUCUGGCCAAGGCGUCCACCCCCACCCGCCUUCGGUUGCUCCGACCUCGGCGGUCACCUUGCUCGCCACCGACCACCCUCCCCCCUCCCCCUCCCCGUCUUACGCUUCUCGACGGAGGGCAUGGCAGGUAG
rnacentral:rRNA from 1 species